GGUAGCAGGAAGUGCUUGCACUUUGCUGACGAGUGGCGGACGGGUGAGUAAUACUUAGGAACAUGCCUUUGUGUGGGGGAUAACCAUUGGAAACGAUGGCUAAUACCGCAUAAUGUCUUUGGACCAAAGAGGGCUUUCGGGCUCUCGCGCAAAGAGUGGCCUAAGUGAGAUUAGCUUGUUGGUGAGGUAAAGGCUCACCAAGGCGACGAUCUCUAGCUGUUCUGAGGGGAAGAUCAGCCACACUGGGACUGAGACACGGCCCAGACUCCUACGGGAGGCAGCAGUGGGGAAUAUUGCACAAUGGGGGCAACCCUGAUGCAGCCAUGCCGCGUGUGUGAAGAAGGCCUUCGGGUUGUAAAGCACUUUCAGUUGUGAGGAAAGGUUAACGGUUAAUACCCGUUAGCUGUGACGUUAGCAACAGAAGAAGGACCGGCUAACUCCGUGCCAGCAGCCGCGGUAAUACGGAGGGUCCGAGCGUUAAUCGGAAUUACUGGGCGUAAAGCGCACGCAGGCGGUUUGUUAAGCUAGAUGUGAAAGCCCUGGGCUCAACCUGGGAAUUGCAUUUAGAACUGGCAGGCUAGAGUUUUGGAGAGGGGAGUGGAAUUCCAGGUGUAGCGG
rnacentral:rRNA from 1 species